rnacentral:rRNA from 1 species
AGUAACGCGUAGGUAACCUACCUCAUAGCGGGGGAUAACUAUUGGAAACGAUAGCUAAUACCGCAUAAGAGAGACUAACGCAUGUUAGUAAUUUAAAAGGGGCAAUUGCUCCACUAUGAGAUGGACCUGCGUUGUAUUAGCUAGUUGGUGAGGUAAAGGCUCACCAAGGCGACGAUACAUAGCCGACCUGAGAGGGUGAUCGGCCACACUGGGACUGAGACACGGCCCAG